ensembl:lncRNA
AAAAAGCAACAUCUUCAUCUGUAGAAAUAAAAACAGCAGGUUUCAGAUCCAAUCUUCCAGUGGAGUCGUUCCUGUCAUUUCGUGGUCCAGUUGCUGCACCACAAACUCCUGCUUUCCUUUAAUCAAGAUUUGGCAGAAUGUAGACUGGAGCAUGAGACAAGCAGAGCAGUCACACUGCUUCUUCACAAAAGGCACAGAGCUACCCCCACCUGCAACCGCCGUAGCCAUGGAAAUGCCACCCAAUCCAGAGCCUAGGAAAUGCAGGAAGGGCGGGAAAUAG